UACAGCGUAGUUACUUAGUUU
rnacentral:piRNA from 1 species